rnacentral:rRNA from 1 species
UACGGAGGGGGCUAGCGUUGUUCGGAAUUACUGGGCGUAAAGCGCACGUAGGCGGCUUUGUAAGUUAGAGGUGAAAGCCCGGGGCUCAACUCCGGAAUUGCCUUUAAGACUGCAUCGCUAGAAUUGUGGAGAGGUAAGUGGAAUUCCGAGUGUAGAGGUGAAAUUCGUAGAUAUUCGGAAGAACACCAGUGGCGAAGGACGACUUACUGGACACAUAUUGACGCUGAGGUGCGAAAAGCGUGGGGAGCAAACAGG